rnacentral:rRNA from 1 species
AGUGAACGCUGGCGGUAGGCCUAACACAUGCAAGUCGAACGGCAGCACAGUAAGAGCUUGCUCUUACGGGUGGCGAGUGGCGGACGGGUGAGGAAUACAUCGGAAUCUACUUUUUCGUGGGGGAUAACGUAGGGAAACUUACGCUAAUACCGCAUACGACCUACGGGUGAAAGCAGGGGAUCUUCGGACCUUGCGCGAUUGAAUGAGCCGAUGUCGGAUUAGCUAGUUGGCGGGGUAAAGGCCCACCAAGGCGACGAUCCGUAGCUGGUCUGAGAGGAUGAUCAGCCACACUGGAACUGAGACACGGUCCAGACUCCUACGGGAGGCAGCAGGGGGGAAUAUUGGACAAGGGGCGCAAGCCUGAUCCAGCCAUACCGCGUGGGUGAAGAAGGCCUGCGGGUUGUAAAGCCCUUUUGUUGGGAAAGAAAAGCAGCAGGUUAAGACCCCGCUGUUCUGACGGUACCCAAAGAAUAAGCACCGGCGAACUUCGU